AACGAACGCUGGCGGCAUGCCUAACACAUGCAAGUCGAACGAGACCUUCGGGCCUAGUGGCGCACGGGUGCGUAACGCGUGGGAACCUGCCCUUAGGUUCGGUAUAACUCCCCGAAAGGGGUGCUAAUACCGGAUAAUGUCUUCGGACCUAAGAUUUAUCGCCUCUGGCUGGGCCCGCGUUGGAUUAGCUAGUUGGUAGGGUAAAAGCCUACCAAGGAGACGAUCCAUAGCUGGUCUGAGAGGAUGAUCAGCCACACUGGGAAUGAGACACGGCCCAGACUCCGACGAGAGGCAGCAGUGGGGAAUAUUGGACGAGGGGCGAAAGCCUGAUCCAGCAAUGCCGCGUGAGUGAUGAAGGCCUUAGGGUUGUAAAGCUCUUUUACCCGGGAUGAUAAUGACAGUACCGGGAGAAUAAGCACCGGCUAACUCCGUG
rnacentral:rRNA from 1 species